rnacentral:tRNA from 1 species
UUUAAAAAAGUAUAGUGUUGAGUAUCCCCGCCUGUCACAUGGGAGACCGGGGUUCAAUUCCCCGCUUGAGAG